rnacentral:rRNA from 1 species
AUGUCUUCCUCCAGUGCCAUCUAAUCAAACCUAAGUGGUCAGGUCACGGAGAAGCUCUCCCGGACGAACUACGUCCUGUGGCGCACCCAAGUCACGCCGCAGUUGAGGGGAGCCGGGUUCUAUGGCUACGUCGACGGCACCAUGCCGGAGCCGCCCCGCCUUUUCGUCGCCAAGGACAAGGACGGGUAGGAGACAUCCGAGCCCAACCCUCUCCACCCCAUCUGGGUGAGGGAGGACCAGCAGGUCCUUGGCUACCUGCUCAAGAACCUCACAAAAGAGGUGCUCGUCGCAGUGACCGCGGUCACCACCGCGCACGCUCUCUGUUGGCACUGGCAGGUAUGUUCUCGUCGCAGUCCUGGAGCCGCGUCAACAACAUCCGCACUGCCUUGA